AAGAAAUUAGCUCAAUUGGUAGAGCAUCCGUUUUACACGCGGCAGAUUAAGUUUUCGAAAAAUUUGUUUCUUA